GAUGAACGCUGGCGGCGUGCCUAAUACAUGCAAGUCGAGCGAACAGAUAAGGAGCUUGCUCCUUUGACGUUAGCGGCGGACGGGUGAGUAACACGUGGGUAACCUACCUAUAAGACUGGAAUAACUCCGGGAAACCGGGGCUAAUGCAGGAUAACAUGUUGAACCGCUUGGUUCUACAGUGAAUGGCGGCUUUGCUGUCACUUAUAGAUGGACCCGCGCCGUAUUAGCUAGUUGGUGAGGUAACGGCUCACCAAGGCAACGAUACGUAGCCGACCUGAGAGGGUGAUCGACCAGACUGGAACUGAGACACGGUCCAGACUCCUACGGGCGGCAGCAGUAGGGAAUCUUCCGCGAUGGGCGAAAGCCUGACGGAGCAACGCCGCGUGAGUGAUGAAGGUCUUCGGAUCGUAAAACUCUGUUAUUAGGGAAGAACAAAUGCGUAAGUAACUGUGCGCGUCUUGACGGUACCUAAUCAGAAAGCCACGGCUAACUACGUG
rnacentral:rRNA from 1 species